rnacentral:rRNA from 1 species
CAAAAGCGUAUAUUAAAGUUGUUGCAGUUAAAAAGCUCGUAGUUGAACCUUGGGCUUGGCUGGCCGGUCCAUCUUUUUUGAUGCGUACUGGACCCAGCCGAGCCUUUCCUUCUGGCUAGCCUUUUGGCGAACCAGGACUUUUACUUUGAAAAAAUUAGAGUGUUCAAAGCAGGCCUUUGCUCGAAUAUAUUAGCAUGGAAUAAUAGAAUAGGACGUUAUGGUUCUAUUUUGUUGGUUUCUAGGACCAUCGUAAUGAUUAAUAGGGACGGUCGGGGGUAUCAGUAUUCAGUUGUCAGAGGUGAAAUUCUUGGAUUUUUGGAAGACGAACUACUGCGAAAGCAUUUACCAAGGAUGUUUUCAUUAA